CAAAAGGAAGACGUCAUGAAGAAACAAACAAUAGAAUGUUAAAAACAACUAGAUAAAAAGUUUACUUCAUCUACGCGUUUUUAAAGUAGCCAACACAAAGAGGGAAGGAUAAGUAGAGUAUUGAGUGCCAAAGAAAUCUUAGCGGCGGACGGGUGAGUAACACGUGGGCAACCUGCCUUGAAGUGGGGGAUAACACCGGGAAAUCGGUGCUAAUACCGCAUAACAUACACAAACUGCAUGGUAAGUGUAUCAAAGGAGCAAUCCGCUUUAAGAUGGGCCCGCGGCUGAUUAGCUAGUUGGUAAGGUAACGGCUUACCAAGGCGACGAUCAGUAGCCGACCUGAGAGGGUGACCGGCCACACUGGAACUGAGACACGGUCCAGACUCCUACGGGAGGCAGCAGUGGGGAAUAUUGCGCAAUGGGGGGAACCCUGACGCAGCAACGCCGCGUGGAGGAAGAAGGUCUUCGGAUUGUAAACUCCUGUCUUCUGGGACGAAUAAUGACGGUACCAGAGGAGGAAGCCACGGCUAACUACGUG
rnacentral:rRNA from 1 species